GAUGAAGAACGCAGCGAAAUGCGAUAAGUAAUGUGAAUUGCAGAAUUCAGUGAAUCAUCGAAUCUUUGAACGCACAUUGCGCCCGUCAGUAUUCUGGCGGGCAUGCCUGUUCGAGCGUCAUUACGCCCCUCAAGUCCCCUGUGGACUUGGUGUUGGGGAUCGGCGAGGCUGGUUUUCCAGCACAGCCGUCCCUUAAAUUAAUUGGCGGUCUCGCCGUGGCCCUCCUCUGCGCAGUAGUAAAACACUCGCAACAGGAGCCCGGCGCGGUCCACUGCCGUAAAACCCCCCAACUUUUUAUAGUUGACCUCGAAUCAGGUUGGACUACCCGCUGAACUUAAGCAUAUCAAUAAGCGGAGGA
rnacentral:misc_RNA from 1 species